ACCGACUUCGUUGGUUCACAUACUAUAGUUAUCUAAAUCAACCUUAACAAAUGAUUAUUAAUAUCAUUCAGAUCUGAAAUAAUUACACUCAUGUACUCAUGAACAUGAUAAAAUUUCAACAUUACAACUUCCUUUGAUCUUCUCAUCCCCUAUGAAGAGUAAUAUGUAUCAUAGGAUAUCCUUAAUACAACAGUUUAAAAUUGCAACUUCUUAUCCAAAGUGGAGGUAGCUAUUUCGCUUUUUGCAUUCUGGGUACUAUGUUAGCUUGCUGCCAUUUCAUUAAUUUGACACCUGACAUAGCAUAGAGACAAAAUUAGUGAAUGGUUAGUGAACAUUGCAACAAUUUUCUAUAAUUUUAUUUGUAAGUUCUAAACAUUAGAGCUAUUCUCAUUUAUAGUUCUGUAAGUAUAAAGAAAAUGUUAUUCUAGUCUCACAAAAUAUUGAAACUUAUUGAGUAAUGUGCUAAAAAUAAAUUUACAUUAAAAUUUUCGUUAAUUAAAUACAACUCGAGGGAACCACAAUAUAUAUCCAACAUCCGUAUGUAAUCUAGAUAUAGAGGGAAAGGAAGUGUAGAAUCGCAUUUUAUCUUGAUUUCAUCAGAAUCUGAAAUAUAAACUAAUCAUUUCACUACAUUAGUCAGUUAUUUGUUAGAAUUUCCACUAAUGAGUUUGUAUGAAAAUUAUAUUAGCUUAUAUAAAAACUACAUGGAAGGAUUGUAUAAGCAAUUGACACUGAGAUAUAAAAUCAUAAUUUAAAGGUUAAACUCUAACAAACUAAGGAUAUCCUCAUAAUAUUUUGAAAGACUCAAAACAUGUAGUAUUUUGUUCCAAAAAAUAAACUUGUUUACUAAAUACCUCCGCCACUCUUCACUUUUUGACAGUAUAUCCCCUUUAGACACAUAAUAAGUCCGUUUGCUUUUCAAUUUCUACCUAGAACUCAUUUAUCAAAAGUAGAUCUAAGAGUUCUCUGAAAGCUGAUCAAAAUUUCCACACAGAGAUAUCAGAAAUAUAAAUACGUCUGUCGAAGCUCGAGAUAUGGGAAAAAACUUCUGAAUGAAACCGCCAUAAACUUUGCAUUAUUAAAUAAAAAUAAUGAGCUAAGCAAACAAUUGUGUCACAGUGAAUUACAGUAGCUCAAAAAAGAUGAUGAGAGAGUAUCACAUUACACCAUUACUGUGGCCAUAAAUUCAUUAAUUUGAAAAAAAGAUGUACCAAAAUAAGAUCUACAUGCCAGAAAAUGAAUUUACAUAUUUUACUCCACAAGGAGUCCCAUAGUUUCGUGCUUAGAUGAUGCGUUCGUAUAUGAAUUCUUUCUCCGUUGUUUGGAAGAUUAAAAUAUAUGAAGUUGUUCCGUAAAUUAUUUCAAUAAAAUAAAAGAGACAGAGAUGUUGUACCGGAAUAUUAAACUCGUAACCAAACACACACUUAACAGUUCUUAUAGUACAAUCAAGUUUGAUAUUUCCUCCUCUAUCCAACAUUCAAAGAUUUCUCCAAGUAAUUAAAUUUUUCUUAAUCAAUUCGUCAUUUCUGCAUAAAAUCUACCCUUUCCAAACUUCACUUUGUAAGAUUAUAACGGAUAUGUUGUUAUUGUUGACGCAAAAGUUCAAAGUUGCGUUUUGAAAGUCUCUUAUGUUUAACACUGGAUAAUGUACAUGUAAAAGAAAGUUAAAACAACUACAAAUACACAACUGUCCAUAAUAUAACACUUAUUAUAAAGUCUCUUAUGUUUAACACUGGAUAAUGUACAUGUAAAAGAAAGUUAAAACAACUAUAAAUACACAACUGUCCAUAAUAUAACACUUAUUAUGAAUCACAUGAGAAUAGUUAAUAAUUAUCAUAUGAAGUGGCCAAUAAACAACUUUCUUAAUCUAGUUGAAAUACAAUUAAGAAAUUGAUAACAAACUUGAAGCAAAAUUAUGAGAAAAAAUAAGAAUCUAAAUUGCUUGAAAGGCAAUUUAGAUAUAAAGCAAUCUAUCAGGUCUUGUGAAACUUGAUUUGUUUGUCUAUGACUUAGGUAAAAAGUAGUAGUAGAAUUCCAUACCUCUUAAAAUAAUAGAGAACUUUUGGGGAUCUUUCUCCUAAGACAUUAUAAAAAAAUUGAGUAAGGAAAAGUUUGUAAUUGAAAAAUAUUAGGUAUCACACCAAAGACAUAUCUAAACACAAACAAAAGAAGACUACCAAAAAAAACAUUGAGAUGUAGACCAUUCACUUGAACAUAUAUUUGUGUUACACGUCAGUUAUCAACUUGUCUACUUUGUAGUUAAUUGGAAGAAACAAUUUGAUAAGGACUUAAUUAGUCGAGUUCUUCGUCCUUUGAAAUCUCCAAAUUAAGCGAAUAAAAGUCUUUGUGGAUGAGUCAUCUUCACCACCCGUUCUCUAUUGGUCAUUGGAAUUGCUUAACUCUAUGGAAUUCAAAUAGAACAAAGAAUGGGAUCAAAGUUGAAAGGUAUGCAGAACGUCGGAAAAGGUUUAACAAUAUAAUAUUGCAAACUUGAUCAUUUCUUAGUUCUGAAUGAAAUUGUAAUUUGAAAGCAAACAAUACAGAAUAAAGAAGAGAAUUAGGAAUAUCAAAAGUCCAUAUCUUACCUCACAAUCUAGCCAGUAAUUAAUUGUGAUUCGUCACUGAAAUUCGAGUAAACCACUUCCUAAUAAGAAGUUGAUCUUGUUGAAUCU
rnacentral:lncRNA from 1 species